rnacentral:ncRNA from 2 species
AGAACCCAUGCGGGAGAGCGUGCGAUUAUUUUCGCACCACCGAAGGCGCAACCACCCGUAACCGCUCAGGUAUCAGGAACCGCAUGGAACAC